GAUGAACGCUGGCGGCGUGCCUAAUACAUGCAAGUCGAGCGAACAGAUGAGGAGCUUGCUCCUCUGACGUUAGCGGCGGACGGGUGAGUAACACGUGGAUAACCUACUUAUAAGACUGGGAUCAUUUCGGGAAACCGGAGCUUACACCGGAUAAUAUACUGAACCGCAUGGUUCAAUAGUGAAAGACGGUUUUGCUGUCACUUAUAGAUGGAUCUGAGCCGCAUUAGCUAGUUGGUAAGGUAACGGCUUACCAAGGCAACGAUGCGUAGCCGACCUGAGAGGGUGAUCGGCCGCACUGGAACUGGGACGCGGUCCAGACGCCUACGGGAGGCAGCAGUAGGGAAUCUUCCGCAAUGGGCGAAAGCCUGACGGAGCAACGCCGCGUGAGUGAUGAAGGUCUUCGGAUCGUAAAACUCUGUUAUUGGGGAAGAACAAAUGUGUAAGUAACUAUGCACGUCGUGACGGUACCUAAUCAGAAAGCCACGGCUAACUACGUG
rnacentral:rRNA from 1 species